AGGUCUAUCGCCAAGCGGUAAGGCAACGGGUUUUAAUCCCGUCAUCCCAUGGUUCGAAUCCAUGUAGACCUG
rnacentral:tRNA from 1 species